rnacentral:rRNA from 1 species
UGGGGAAUUUUGCACAAUGGGGGAAACCCUGAUGCAGCGACGCCGCGUGAUUUAGAAGGCCUUCGGGUUGUAAAAAUCUUUUCUAUGGGAAGAAUAUGACAGUACCAUAGGAAUAAGGACCGGCUAAUUACGUGCCAGCAGCCGCGGUAAUACGUAAGGUCCGAGCGUUGUCCGGAAUCAUUGGGCGUAAAGGGUACGUAGGCGGGUAAGCAAGUUAGAAGUGAAAUCCUAUAGCUCAACUAUAGUAAGCUUUUAAAACUGCUCAUCUUGAGGUAUGGAAGGGAAAGUGGAAUUCCUAGUGUAGCGGUGAGAUGCGCAGAUAUUAGGAGGAAUACCGGUGGCGAAGGCGACUUUCUGGCCAUAACCUGACGCUGAGGUACGAAAGCGUGGGUAGCAAACAGG